GAGUUUUGAGAAACAUGAUUUGGAUUUGACUAAAAUGCUAAAUUUACUACAAAAACUAAGAAACAAUGUAUUUGAAAUAACUUUAUACAAUAAGUAUUGGGAUAAAAUGUUUUGUAUUUCUCAGUAUUUGGAAUCGCUCCACACAAUCAAGAAUAUCCAAUCAGGUCAGUCAAUAUCAGAAAUGUUACAUUUCCAUAGAGUCGCUAUAAAGGUAUCAUUUUUCAAAAUAACAGGGCAAUGUUACAACACUGUCAUAUUUGAAUUACAUUUCAACAGCAGAAACUUAGGAGAUGAGAAAAUGAUAGUAGGAACUAUAAAGAAGAAAAACAUGCUUCAACUUCGACCACUUGGUUUUGCUCUUACAACACUAAAGUUUAACCACACAAAAUCAUUUCCCGUUUAACUUAUACGAGGAUCUAAAGGCACACAAACAUCUAGCAAAGAAUAGUAACAGCUGUACUCUGUAAAUAAAGCUGCAGUCGACCCAACUUUUUUAUUUGGAUUAAAUGGGUACUCCAACUAAAGAUAUGAAAUUGACUGAUUAUUGAAUUUCGGCGUUCAUAGUAUAACAUUUAUACUAGUGAUUGCACUGUUACCCAAAUAACUUCUAUUACCUCUAGUGAUCAUACCCUAAUCACCAAUUUAGUACUUUCACUAGCCUAGUAUGAAUGAAUAAUUAACUACCAGACUUGAUUACAAUUAGUAUGAUUAACUACCAGAGGACCAUAGCAUUAACAAUACAAACCUGUAC
rnacentral:lncRNA from 1 species